rnacentral:lncRNA from 1 species
UGGUGCAUGUAGGACGAUGACCAGCUGGUGACCGCAUAUAAGACCUGCGCCGCUGCAGUGGAGAUUAGACUCGCGAGUCGCGUCGGCAGCGCGCGAGUGAAGUUAGCUCGGACACCACCUAGAGAGAGGGAGAGAGAGAGAGAGAGAGAGAGAGGGAGAGAAAGAAAGAAAGAAAGAAAGAAAGAAAGAAAGAGAGAGACAGGGAGAGGCAGGAGGAGAGAUGGCCUGGUCUCGAAGACUGGUGACGGUGGUGCUAGUAGUGAUGGUGACGGCUGUUCACCGAUCGGAUGCUAGGAGACUGACAGCAUCUUCCAACGGUUCAACCACGCCACACACGACUCCCGAGCCACCGCCAACGUUCUUCGUCGGUGGCGAACCUGAGAAGGGUUCGUCGAGUCAGGGUACUGGACUCAUCGGCACUGGAACGAGACCCCCCAUUCAUCUGGGGCAAAUCCUCGGCUUCUUGGGUCCAACGCGGCGUCCGUCCGGGCCCGCGGGUCCAGGCGGAUAUCAUGUGCCCCCACGUCAUACUACGACCACCACCACCAAAAAACCCUGCAGACAUUUUCGCUGUCCCGGCCGCUUCCCAUGGUAUUCUGCCUCGCACCCCGGCUUCCAACACAAAGGUGUGAAGCUUCGCCGGCCGUAGGUGGCUCAAUAGCAGCCCGGAACAACUUACGGUGCAAGAGGAUGUGAGUGUGUUCGGCGAUCAUCGGCGAUCAUGUUACUGUAACAGCGAAACUAACAUAUUGCUUAUGUAAUAUGUAUCACAUUAAAUACAUGUCAGUGAAACCGGA